AUUGAACGCUGGCGGCAGGCCUAACACAUGCAAGUCGAGCGAGCGGCGGACGGGUGAGUAAUGUAUGGGGACUGCCCGAUAGAGGGGGAUAACCAUUGGAAACGGUAGCUAAUACCGCAUACUAUCGGAUAACCCAUAUGGGAUUAGCUAGUAGGUGAGGUAAUGGCUCACCUAGGCGCCGGUCCCUAGCUGGUCUGAAAGGAGGAUCAGCCACACGGUGACUGAGACACGGCCCAGACUCCGACGGAGGCAGCAGUGGGGAAUAUUGCACAGUGGGCGCAAGCCUGAUGCAGACAUGCCGGGUGUAUGACGAAGGCCCUAGGGUUGUAAAGUACUUUCAGUAGGGAGGCGUUACCGACAGAAGAAGCACCGGCUAACUCCGUGCCAGCAGCCGCGGUAAUUC
rnacentral:rRNA from 1 species